rnacentral:rRNA from 1 species
UUAAGCGACUAAGCGUACACGGUGGAUGCCCUGGCAGUCAGAGGCGAUGAAGGACGUGCUAAUCUGCGAAAAGCGUCGGUAAGGUGAUAUGAACCGUUAUAACCGGCGAUGUCCGAAUGGGGAAACCCAGUGUGAUUCGUCACACUAUCGUUAACUGAAUACAUAGGUUAACGAGGCGAACCGGGGGAACUGAAACAUCUAAGUACCCCGAGGAAAAGAAAUCAACCGAGAUUCCCCCAGUAGCGGCGAGCGAACGGGGAGCAGCCCAGAGUCUGAAUCAGCUUGUGUGUUAGUGGAACGGUCUGGAAAGUCCGACGGUACAGGGUGAUAGUCCCGUACACCAAAAUGCACAGGCUGUGAACUCGAAGAGUAGGGCGGGACACGUGGUAUCCUGUCUGAAUAUGGGGGGACCAUCCUCCAAGGCUAAAUACUCCUGACUGACCGAUAGUGAACCAGUACCGUGAGGGAAAGGCGAAAAGAACCCCGGCGAGGGGAGUGAAAAAGAACCUGAAACCGUGUACGUACAAGCAGUGGGAGCACCUUCGGGUGUGACUGCGUACCUUUUGUAUAAUGGGUCAGCGACUUAUAUUCUGUAGCAAGGUUAACCGUAUAGGGGAGCCGCAGGGAAACCGAGUCUUAACUGGGCGUUAAGUUGCAGGGUAUAGACCCGAAACCCGGUGAUCUAGCCAUGGGCAGGUUGAAGGUUGGGUAACACUAACUGGAGGACCGAACCGACUAAUGUUGAAAAAUUAGCGGAUGACUUGUGGCUGGGGGUGAAAGGCCAAUCAAACCGGGAGAUAGCUGGUUCUCCCCGAAAGCUAUUUAGGUAGCGCCUCGUGAACUCAUCUUCGGGGGUAGAGCACUGUUUCGGCUAGGGGGUCAUCCCGACUUACCAACCCGAUGCAAACUACGAAUACCGAAGAAUGUUAUCACGGGAGACACACGGCGGGUGCUAACGUCCGUCGUGAAGAGGGAAACAACCCAGACCGCCAGCUAAGGUCCCAAAGUCAUGGUUAAGUGGGAAACGAUGUGGGAAGGCACAGACAGCCAGGAUGUUGGCUUAGAAGCAGCCAUCAUUUAAAGAAAGCGUAAUAGCUCACUGGUCGAGUCGGCCUGCGCGGAAGAUGUAACGGGGCUAAACCAUGCACCGAAGCUGCGGCAGCGACACUAUGUGUUGUUGGGUAGGGGAGCGUUCUGUAAGCCUGCGAAGGUGACCUGUGAGGGUUGCUGGAGGUAUCAGAAGUGCGAAUGCUGACAUAAGUAACGAUAAAGCGGGUGAAAAGCCCGCUCGCCGGAAGACCAAGGGUUCCUGUCCAACGUUAAUCGGGGCAGGGUGAGUCGACCCCUAAGGCGAGGCCGAAAGGCGUAGUCGAUGGGAAACAGGUUAAUAUUCCUGUACUUGGUGUUACUGCGAAGGGGGGACGGAGAAGGCUAUGUUAGCCGGGCGACGGUUGUCCCGGUUUAAGCAUGUAGGCUGAUUGUCCAGGCAAAUCCGGAUAAUCAAGGCUGAGGUGUGAUGACGAGGCACUACGGUGCUGAAGUAACAAAUGCCCUGCUUCCAGGAAAAGCCUCUAAGCAUCAGGUAACAUCAAAUCGUACCCCAAACCGACACAGGUGGUCAGGUAGAGAAUACCAAGGCGCUUGAGAGAACUCGGGUGAAGGAACUAGGCAAAAUGGUGCCGUAACUUCGGGAGAAGGCACGCUGGUGUGUAGGUGAAGUCCCUGCGGAUGGAGCUGAGACCAGUCGAAGAUACCAGCUGGCUGCAACUGUUUAUUAAAAACACAGCACUGUGCAAACACGAAAGUGGACGUAUACGGUGUGACGCCUGCCCGGUGCCGGAAGGUUAAUUGAUGGGGUUAUCCGUAAGGAGAAGCUCUUGAUCGAAGCCCCGGUAAACGGCGGCCGUAACUAUAACGGUCCUAAGGUAGCGAAAUUCCUUGUCGGGUAAGUUCCGACCUGCACGAAUGGCGUAAUGAUGGCCAGGCUGUCUCCACCCGAGACUCAGUGAAAUUGAACUCGCUGUGAAGAUGCAGUGUACCCGCGGCAAGACGGAAAGACCCCGUGAACCUUUACUAUAGCUUGACACUGAACAUUGAGCCUUGAUGUGUAGGAUAGGUGGGAGGCUUUGAAGCGUGGACGCCAGUCUGCGUGGAGCCAACCUUGAAAUACCACCCUUUAAUGUUUGAUGUUCUAACGUUGGCCCCUGACCGGGGUUGCGGACAGUGUCUGGUGGGUAGUUUGACUGGGGCGGUCUCCUCCCAAAGCGUAACGGAGGAGCACGAAGGUUAGCUAAUCCUGGUCGGACAUCAGGAGGUUAGUGCAAUGGCAUAAGCUAGCUUGACUGCGAGCGUGACGGCGCGAGCAGGUGCGAAAGCAGGUCAUAGUGAUCCGGUGGUUCUGAAUGGAAGGGCCAUCGCUCAACGGAUAAAAGGUACUCCGGGGAUAACAGGCUGAUACCGCCCAAGAGUUCAUAUCGACGGCGGUGUUUGGCACCUCGAUGUCGGCUCAUCACAUCCUGGGGCUGAAGUAGGUCCCAAGGGUAUGGCUGUUCGCCAUUUAAAGUGGUACGCGAGCUGGGUUUAGAACGUCGUGAGACAGUUCGGUCCCUAUCUGCCGUGGGCGCUGGAGAAUUGAGGGGGGCUGCUCCUAGUACGAGAGGACCGGAGUGGACGCAUCACUGGUGUUCGGGUUGUCAUGCCAAUGGCACUGCCCGGUAGCUAAAUGCGGAAGAGAUAAGUGCUGAAAGCAUCUAAGCACGAAACUUGCCCCGAGAUGAGUUCUCCCUGAGACUUUAAGUCUCCUGAAGGAACGUUAAAGACGAUGACGUUGAUAGGCCGGGUGUGUAAGCGCAGCGAUGCGUUGAGCUAACCGGUACUAAUGAACCGUGAGGCUUAACCUU